rnacentral:rRNA from 1 species
GACGUAGGAGGCGAGCGUUGUCCGGAUUCAUUGGGCGUAAAGAGCACGCAGGCGGUUUGGCAAGUCGGAUGUGAAAGCCCGGAGCUCAACUCCGGACCUGCAUCCGAAACUGCCCGACUAGAGGUAGGUAGGGGAGAUCGGAAUUCCUGGUGUAGCGGUGAAAUGCGCAGAUAUCAGGAGGAACACCAAUGGCGAAGGCAGCUCGCUGGGACGGUACUGACGCUGAGACGCGAAAGCGUGGGGAGCAAACAGG